rnacentral:ncRNA from 2 species
CCGUAUCAAGCCCCGGACGGUGCCCCGCGAGGGGAUCAAAAGGGAACACGGUGACGGGCUCCAGGCCCCAAUCCGAGGCUGCCCCCGCAACUGUAGUCGGCAAGCCGACGGCCUUGAUACCACUGGGAAACCGGGAAGGUGGCCGAAGGCGGAGGAGCCGUAAGCCAGGAAACCUGCCGUCGAAAACGCCGCAUC